rnacentral:rRNA from 1 species
UGCAGUCGCACGAGAACGCUUCAGCUUGCUGAAGUAAGUAAAGUGGCGCACGGGUGAGUAACGCGUGGGUAAUCUACCCCUGAAUUGGGGAUAACAUUGCGAAAGUGAUGCUAAUACCGAAUGACAUCCUGAAAAUCUAUGUUUUCAGGAUCAAAGGUGGCCUCUACAUGUAAGCUAUUGUUUGGGGAUGAGCCCGCGUACCAUUAGCUUGUUGGUAGGGUAAUGGCCUACCAAGGCUACGAUGGUUAGCUGGUCUGAGAGGAUGAUCAGCCACACUGGAACUGACACACGGUCCAGACUCCUACGGGAGGCAGCAGUGAGGAAUUUUGCGCAAUGGGGGAAACCCUGACGCAGCAACGCCGCGUGAGUGAUGAAGGCUUUCGGGUCGUAAAGCUCUGUCAAGUGGGAAGAAACCAUAUGGUGUUAAUACCGCCAUGUGCUGACGGUACCACUGAAGGAAGCACCGGCUAACUCCGUGCCAGCAGCCGCGGUAAUACGGGGGGUGCGAGCGUUAUUCGGAAUUACUGGGCGUAAAGAGCGCGUAGGCGGUCUUUUAAGUCAGGUGUGAAAGCCCGGGGCUCAACCCCGGAAGUGCACUUGAAACUAAGAGACUUGAGUAUGGGAGAGGGAAGUGGAAUUCCUGGUGUAGCGGUGAAAUGCGUAGAUAUCAGGAGGAACAUCGGUGGCGAAGGCGACUUCCUGGACCAAUACUGACGCUGAGGCGCGAAGGCGUGGGGAGCAAACAGGAUUAGAUACCCUGGUAGUCCACGCAGUAAACGGUGAACACUAAGUGUAGCGGGUAUUGCCCCUGCUGUGCGCAGCAACGCAUAGUGUUCGCUGGGGAGUACGCGGCAGUAAACUCAAGAUGACGGCCGCACAGCGGUGAGCAUGUGUAAUUCGUGCAGUCGCAUGCAGUCGCAUGCAGUCGCA